GACGAACCGUACGAACGUUAUUCGGAAUCACUGGGCUUAAAGGGUGCGUAGGCGGCGCUGAAAGUUGGGUGUGAAAUCCCUCGGCUCAACCGAGGAACUGCGCCCAAAACUACGGUGCUCGAGGGAGAUAGAGGUGAGCGGACCUUAGUGUGGAGCGGUGAAAUGCGUUGAUAUCCUAAGGAACGCCAGGGGCGAAAGCGGCUCACUGGAUCUCUUCUGACGCUGAGGCACGAAAGCUAGGGUAGCGAACGGG
rnacentral:rRNA from 1 species